rnacentral:rRNA from 1 species
AUACGUAGGGGGCGAGCGUUAUCCGGAUUUAUUGGGCGUAAAGCGUGUGUAGGCGGUUUGUUAAGUUUAAGAUUAAAGCCCGAGGCUUAACCUCGGUUCGUCUUAAAAACUAGCAGACUUGAGUGCAGUAGAGGCAAGUGGAAUUUCUAGUGUAGCGGUUAAAUGCGUAGAUAUUAGAAGGAACACCAGUGGCGAAGGCGUCUUGCUGGGCUGUUACUGACGCUGAGACACGAAAGCGUGGGGAGCAAAUAGGAUGAGAUGCCCCGGUAGUCCAGGCCGUAAACGAUGGGUACUAGGUGUGGGAGGUAUCAACUCCUUCCGUGCCGGAGUUAACGCAAUAAGUACCCCGCCUGGGGAGUACGGCCGCAAGGCUUAAACUUAAAGGAAUUGACGGUG